UACGAAGGGGGCUAGCGUUGUUCGGAUUUACUGGGCGUAAAGCGCACGUAGGCGGAUCGAUCAGUCAGGGGUGAAAUCCCAGAGCUCAACUCUGGAACUGCCUUUGAUACUGUCGAUCUGGAGUAUGGAAGAGGUGAGUGGAAUUCCGAGUGUAGAGGUGAAAUUCGUAGAUAUUCGGAGGAACACCAGUGGCGAAGGCGCUCACUGGUCCAUUACUGACGCUGAGGUGCGAAAGCGUGGGGAGCAAACAG
rnacentral:rRNA from 1 species